AUUUAUAUAGUUUAAAAAAAACAUUAUAUUUUCAAUAUAAAAUUAACUUAAAAUUUAUAAAUA
rnacentral:tRNA from 1 species